AAACGACGUGUAAACAUUAUAAAAUGGUUUAUUAUGUUUCAAAAAUAACGUUUUGUUCUGUUUUACCCGGAAGCAAAAGCUUUCAUACGUAGACCAAUGUUUUUAGGUAUCGAUUGGUAGAUGUGGUUGCUUGUUUAAGGAUUUUGUGGAUUUCAUUUUCAGCAAUUGUUUGUCAUCUGAGUUUGCAAUCAUGGGGAAGUCAUUUGUUAAUUUUAUGUGUUUACCGAACAAAUGAGUAUAUCUACUUUAUCAUUGACUAUGUAGACGUUAUAUUUUAUAUUAAAAUUAAUUCAAACGUGUAUUUCGCAGAGAUGCGUGUUUGUUCCUUAUUGUGUCAACACAAGAGUGCCUAAAUUGUAGCUUUCAUUUUUUUUUUUUACUUUACCAAAAUGUGCGUUAAAUGAUGUAAUAUAAAUAUAACUCUUAUAUCGAAACAUGCAGGCCUGCACAUAGUGUGAGGAUCAGUGUUUACAUCACACACUGUAUAUGGUAUAGCCUGUUUGUUUGUUUCAACGGGAGCAAUGUUUGUUAUGACAACUGGACAUCCAAAUGAACCCAUAGGAAAAUAUCUCGUCACUCAGCUUCUAAUAAUGAGUACAUAAUACCAAAUAAAGAACUGUUUUCCUGAACAAUAGUGUCUGGUUCCGAUAGAAAUAGUCUCCCGUGCCAUCAGUAAACAUAUUUAGUAUUUGAGCGCAUAGACUCGUCGAUAAGACAAUAGAAUUAUGUGAGGGCACUUAGUCAAAUAUUUACAAUGACUGCACCUUGAUUUGUGAAUUUGAUAUUCAAAUGAUUCCCUGAUCUAAAUAUAUACCGACAAUUUGAAGACAGCGGUUUUACCUAUCCCAUGCCCUUAUGUUCUGUUUGUUGAAUGACAGCACCACCUGCUGUUUAUAUUUUGCAUUGCAUCGCAGUCUAUAAAUUUGGCUAACAAUUGAUACAUUGAAUUGCACAUGAAAAACCUUAAAUCCUCCGCUGAAAUCCAGGGCCGUGUUGGGUUGAUCAUGUCAUUUUAGAAACUGGAAUUUUCAUGGCAGUACCUGUAGAUUUCCAACAAAGUUUUGUCCUGUAAACAAAUAAAAAACAAUACAUGGUACCGUAGAUAGGUUUUGUUGUAUUUUAAUUUGAGGCCCUUUUUCAGCCCUGUUCUGGCUUUUAGAUUCCUCCUACUGCUUCCCAUGGCUUGAACCACUAGCGCUAAAAUUAUUAUUGUAAAGAGAUAUUUAUUUUGCAGGUAUUGAUCGCAGAGCAAAAAUUAACAUCUGACAAGAAGAAACAUGAAGAUUUAAUGCAACAGUACCUUUAAGAGCAGGACACGUACAAUAACAGAUAUGCAAAGGAUGACAUGAACAUCUGAGAUCAACCAUUUGGUAUUCAGGUGCGGAAUGUGCGGUGUAUUAAAUCUCACACAUGAUGACAUGUGAACACAGACAGAGAGUGUCCGCUGUUUGGUUUAUCAGGAAUCAAUGCCAGCUCAGUGGCAGAUGAUGAUGCAGGUCCGUCAGUGCACCCCUCAGAGUUAAUGGUGGAGAUGAGAAACAGUGGGUUUGCACUGAAACAAAGUGUACUGGGGAGAAAUGUGACUCUUUGUGAUCCAUCACAGAGAGAUCAAGAGGUGUAUUCAGGGGCAAAUGCUUCCCGUCUUUGACUGCACUUGUAAUGAUGACGACAAAUGCUUGUUGCAGUGAAAAGGACCCAUUGUCUUAAUCUGAUCUAUCAUGCUAUCUUAUUUAAAAUGAAAAAAGAAGGCAAUGCUGACUCACAACACAAA